UACGAAGGGGGCUAGCGUUGUUCGGAAUUACUGGGCGUAAAGCGUGCGCAGGCGGCUUCUCAAGUCAGGGGUGAAAGCCCAGAGCUCAACUCUGGAAUUGCCUUUGAGACUGAGUGGCUUGAGUACGAGAGAGGUGAGUGGAAUUCCCAGUGUAGAGGUGAAAUUCGUAGAUAUUGGGAGGAACACCGGUGGCGAAGGCGGCUCACUGGCUCGUAACUGACGCUCA
rnacentral:rRNA from 1 species